CAGAAACGUUGAGCUGCUGCUUCAUCAAUGAGCUAGUUGUAAGCAGGUUCAUUUCAAUACUGUAUCUCUGGUGUCAAACAUGUGGAAGUAUUUACUUGUUUGCGAAAUGUGUGGUGGGCUGUGUGAACUUAUCAGGACUGUGACUUUUAUCAUGUAUUUCCUGUAGCCACCAAAUACAUGAUACAGCAAAUAGCAACACAAAGCUAAAAGACAAAGCGGGAGAUGGUACUAAUUAAAUAUACUGUGCUGCUGUGACAAUGUGCUUCAAUUCAAAUAUUCUAGCACUGGAUAGAAAUGGUUUGAGAGUACCAAAGGAUCAAACUGCAAACCACCAUUAGUUUGCAAAUGGCUGUUAUUAAAAGAGAAAAAGAAAAGGCACGAGAGAGAAAAAGAAGGAAAUGUUUAUUUGGAGUUCAAAGGCAAGAGGAAAUAUGAACCAUCUGUGGAAGCCUUAUUUUGUCUACCUUUUUUGUAUAUUUUCAUUUUUAAUAACCAGGCUGUGUAGCUUUUGGCUGUUUUCAGACAUACAAACAAAGAGUGACUCACUUAGUCAAUGGUAAAACAUGUAAUGUAGAACAGUUGCACUGCUGUGAAAUGAGUCUGUUGCAGGGUCACACGUGGUUUACAGUUGCCAGACAUUCCUGGCAGUAAAACAAUCUUCCCAUGGUUCUGCAUCUUCAAACACAAAUGGCAGUUGUUAGUAUUGCAGGAGGAAAACUGCCCCUCACACAAGUACCAGAGAUUCUUUCCUUUGUUUCCCCCAUAUCUCAGAGUUCUUGUGAUAAAAGCGGCUCUGUGUCUUAUUCCUCUCUCUGUCAGAAAUUCAGCAUGUUUCCAUGGCGACCACUCUCCGUUAGCCCGCUGUCCAAAGUGAGGAGAAGAUUUCUGGACCAGGUCUGGUGUAAUUCACAGGACAGAUUUGUUAAAACAUGGUGUCUGCAGAUCUUGAAAAGUCUUAAAAAGCUCUGAAUUCUGUUUCCCAAAAAUAGAAAAGAGAAUAAAAGCCCAUGCAGUCGUUAAUAUCAUGUCUCCCAUUCUGUUUAUGUUUUGUCCAUCUAUCAUUCCAAAACUCAAAAUGUUUUAUUUUCUAUAUAUGUCAAAAAGGGCAUCAAGUGUUAACAUUUUGUAAGUAAAACAAUCCAAUGUUUGACAUUUGUUAUUCAAUUAUUAAGUGAUAAUCAAAAUAGUUGCAGAUUAAUUUUCCUUUGAUGGAAUAAUACUAAUCGCUGCAUUUAUUUCAUCAUCAUAUGCAUUAUUUUACCGGGUUAAUCCAUCAAUCCGCUUUCUCCACCAGGUCCAGGUUGUAUUAAUUAAACAAAUUAUUUAAUUGUAUUGUUAUAUAUGCUGGGAGCCAAUUGAAAUAUGAUAUAAUAAUAAAUAAUUGUAGUCCAUAUUGUCCCUGCUGGUUUUCCAUAAUACUUUAAAACUUUGGCCAGUGUGAUGGUGAAGCAGUUAUUUAAUUCCAUUCUAUGCAGUAUUAAAAUAAAACAAAACACUGCAGAACGCCAUAAAUGUUUCUUUGUGGUUAAAUAGCAUGAUACAUUAUCCUCUAUUGAUGCAGCUCUGUGUGAAAUUAAACAGUUAAACUCAAAAUGAAUUAGUACUCCUGAUUGUUACCACAAGUUUCCCAUGUAUUCAACACCCUCCCUGAAAAAGUACGACGUCGACUGCAUAGUGCCAAAACAUGCCCUAUGGCAUUGAUUUUUUUUUGAAGGAGUAUAGGAAGUGGACAUAUUUUUAGAUCAUUUGUAAUUUGUGAAUGUGCAACAUGCAGACAAAUAUGCAUACUGUUGCAAAUGUAUACGCCAUGCAAUUGUGCAAAAAG
ensembl:lncRNA